AGUCAGAAUGCGUGAUAUAAAGUCGCAAUUGAGAGUUAUAACUUCAGAAUUUUUGUUAGUUAUAUAAUUAGUUAUUGUUUAUUUGUAAAGGUAGUUAACGUCAAUUAUUGUUAGUUACUGUAAAUUCAUAAUACAUAAAAAGGGGAUCUCCAUCAAACAGUGCAAGAAGUCCUUGUUUUAUUUUGUUUAAUUCCUGAUGUGAUGACAGCGUAAUAACUGUUUUAGUUUGAAAGGGCCGAUUCCGGUGGUGUCAAAUAUCAACAUGGGAGGGUCCGGAAGCAGCUUCAAACAGGUAGACUGUAGUCCAUACCUGACUCAACCACACCUGAAAAGCGAUGAAAUAUUUAAUAUUCGUGAAGUAAAGAUACCGAGAAUCAAGUUACCAUGGCAUGUGCUGGUCUCAAACACUGCAAAGUGGCCCUGGGCUUUGCUGUUAUUUUCGACAUUUUUGGCUUUACGGCCCUGUUUGUGGGGCUCUUUGUGCCACUGGAAACGAAGGGGAGAGAUUUUGGGGACCUUCUUGUCUACACUGGGGCCGUCUUGGUGCUGAUAUCACUUGGCGGUUGGGUCAUGUGGUAUAGUGGCAACAUUGAGGGUAUUCCAAAACAAAAGGAUCUAAGCGGAAUUGGCAAUGCCGUGGAACGCUUGGCACGCAACCUCAGCAGGAAAAUGUAUAGUACACGUCGUGUUCACAGAGGGCCCUGACAUCUUGACGGUGAUCCUGUUGACGUUUUAUUUUAAAUAAAAAAAGACUCAAUUUUUGUGCCUUACAGAUUUUUGGACAUGGAGAUUCAAAGAAAAACAAUUAUUUGACAAACUGAAUCCUGACCUUACACCUUGCUUAGGUAAAUAGCUGUUAUAGCCUAUUUCAAUAACAUUUGGCCUAUAUUGUACUGUUUUAUAUAUAAAUUUGUUUUAAUGUACUGCUACUAUUGUAGUUUAUUCAGUUACUGUACAACAAAGGUCAGAAAGAAUGUUACUGCACGAAUUGUUACAAGAAAGUAAACUACUAGUGUUAACAUGUAUGCAACAUGUUUAACAUUUAUUUUCUGUUUGAGCAAUUCAUGGCCAAAAGCAGUGUUUAUUCUUUAUAAAGUGUGUUUUAGUUAUAUUUUUUAGUUAUCAAAAAAUUGAUUAAUUGAACAUGUACACAAAAUGUAUCUUAACUGAUAUUUAGCAAAUUCUCAGUAUUGUUUGUGUCUGUUAAAUGAUCAUGUUCAAGUGGCCUAUUUAGACAGCAAAUCUUGAUCCACCAAUCAGAGUACAACCAUUUGCAGUACUUCAUCUGAUCUCUAGGUGGAGACAAACAUGAACAUUUCAUGUUAUGGCAAGAGUUGAUAGUGGUCACAUGGCUUUUGUAUGAAUAAAAAUGACAUUUUUGACUAAUUAAAAGGCGUUUUUAAUAAAUGUAAUGAAUUAC